rnacentral:rRNA from 1 species
AUUGAACGCUGGCGGCAGGCUUAACACAUGCAAGUCGAACGAGUGGCGGACGGGUGAGUAAUGCUUGGGAAUCUGGCUUAUGGAGGGGGAUAACUACGGUAAACCGUACCUAAUACCGCGUACCACAGGUGGAGCCCAAGUGGGAUAAGGUAGUUGGUGAGGUAAAGGCUCACCAAGCCGACUCACUCUAGCUGGUCUGAGAGGAUGACCAGCCACACUGGGACAGGGACACGGCCCAGACUCCUACGAGAGGCAGCAGUGGGGAAUAUUGCGCAAUGGGGGCAACCUGACGCAGCCAUGCCGCGUGAAUGAAGAAGGCCUUCGGGUUGUAAAGUUCUUUCGGUAGCGAGGCGUUAACUACAGGAGAAGCACCGGCUAACUCCGUGCCAGCAGCCGCGGUAAUAC